CAGCGCCUUCGCCGGCUCGUACUGAGCACGCGCAGGCGGCUCCGGCAUGUUCCGACAAGCCGCGACGGGAGGCCCUUGCUGACUCUGCACCGGCCCCUGGCGGGAUGAGAUGACAUCAGCUCGGCGGGACGGGCGCAGGCGGGACAACGCAGCAAAGAGGAGAAUGUAUGAAAACUCCAUGGGGUCAGCCAAAAAUGUGAUAAGUGAGACUGUUGAUGUAGCAGAGAGUUAUAACAUGAUGGCUUCUUUCCAACGCUCUAAUAGUCAUGACAAAGUGAGGAAAAUUGUUGCAGAAGAGGGUCGUACAGCAAGAAACCUUAUUGCAUGGAAUGUCCCACUGGAAAGCAAAGAGGACGAUAGUAAGUCUAAAUGGCAAGUAGGUGGAAAAUCUAAGAGAGUGACUCAUGGAACACAUAAACCUACAAAACAGAGCACUACAGUAGACUGUAAAAUAACAUCAGGAGCCGCUGGAGAUAAAAACUUUGACAAAAGCCCAACAAAAACAAGGCAACCUCGAAAAGUUGAUUUGAGAGCUCGAUAUUGGGCAUUUCUUUUUGACAAUCUUAGACGGGCAGUUGAUGAAAUCUAUGUUACUUGUGAGUCGGAUCAGAGCGUAGUAGAAUGCAAGGAGGUUCUAAUGAUGCUAGAUAACUAUGUAAGAGAUUUCAAGGCAUUGAUUGACUGGAUACAGCUACAGGAAAAGCUAGAAAAGGCUGAUGCUCAAAGCAGACCUACUUCAUUGGCCUGGGAAGUAAAGAAGAUGUCUCCAGGACGCCAUGUAAUACCAAGUCCAUCAACAGAUAGAAUCAGUGUAACAUCAAAUGCUCGAAGAAGUUUAAAUUUUGGGAAUCCAUCUGUGACCAUUGCUACCACUCGUCUGGCUCCUUCAGGUGUAAGUUGGGCUGAUAAGGUGAAAGCUAACCAUGGAGCUAAAGCUGCCACUCCAGAGCUAGCAACUACACAAACCUGCAUGCCAACACCAGUGCAGAAGUCAUCACGGAGAAAUGAACAGAUGCUGGCUGAACAUCCCAGGAGACGGAAGAAAUUCUUACUUCAUAGGAGCAAGAAAAGAGAAAGAAAGGAUGCAGAAGGAUGGGAAACAGUUCAGCGUGGAAGGCCUAUUCGAUCUCGAUCUACAGCUAUAGCGACAAAAACUCCUGUAGCUGCAGAAUUGCUAAGAGCUAAAGAUGACAGUGACAAAGAAAAUGUAGUCUUCAGACCAUCAGAAAGUAAACAGAAGAAUUCAUUCGAUGAAGAUAGUGCAUCCAAAAAUAUAGAACCUCUGCAGAAAGAUUCUUUAUAUCUGAGUGAGCAUCCUCUUGCUGAAAGGACUCAGUUCACAGCACACACACUAGAAGAUACCAGAAACACUGGCAACGUGGUUUUACAGGACAGUUCUUGCUUACAAACACCUUCUGAAAUGCCUGCAGUUGUCAUAGACACUGAACUUACUUCAGAAAGUCUACAGAUUGAUGAAUCUCCCUCCUUGAUCUCUGGUAGUAAAGAACAACAUGAAGCAUUAAAAAACAAGAUAGAAAGUGAAAUGGACCCCUCAGACAUUUCAAAUGUGAGUGCUGCCAGAUUGUCUAUGGCAGAAGUCCUUGCUAAAAAAGAAGAGUUAGCAGAUCGCCUGGAAAAGGCCAAUGAAGAAGCAAUAGCUAGUGCCAUUGCAGAAGAGGAGCAGUUAACUAGAGAGAUUGAAGCAGAAGAAAACAAUGACAUUAACAUUGAGACUGACAAUGAUAGUGAUUUUUCUGCUAGCAUGGGCAGUGGAAGUAUAUCUUUCUGUGGCGUGUCUAUGGACUGGAAUGAUGUCCUGGCUGAUUAUGAAGCUCGUGAAUCAUGGCGUCAAAAUAAUUCAUGGGGUGAUAUAGUGGAAGAAGAACCUGCACGUCCACCAGGCCAUGGAAUACAUAUGCAUGAGAAACUUUCUUCACCAUCUCGCAAAAGAACAAUAGCAGAAUCUAAAAAGAAACAUGAGGAGAAACAGAUGAAAGCUCAACAGCUGAGAGAAAAGUUACGUGAAGAGAAAACGCUAAAGCUUCAAAAACUGAUAGAGCGGGAGAAAGAUGUGCGAAAGUGGAAAGAAGAAUUACUGGAUCAGAGACGCAGGAUGAUGGAGGAAAAAUUACUCCAUGCUGAAUUUAAACGUGAAGUGCAGUUACAAGCAAUUGUGAAAAAAGCACAAGAGGAAGAAGCAAAGGUAAAUGAAAUUGCAUUUAUAAACACCUUAGAAGCCCAAAAUAAACGUCAUGAUGUGUUGUCCAAACUAAAAGAGUAUGAACAAAGACUAAAUGAAUUACAGGAGGAACGCCAACGGAGGCAGGAAGAAAAGCAAGCACGUGAUGAAGCUGUUCAGGAGCGUAAAAGAGCUCUGGAAGCAGAACGCCAAGCCCGGGUUGAAGAGCUGCUGAUGAAGAGGAAAGAACAAGAAGCUCGGAUUGAACAGCAGCGGCAGGAGAAAGAGAAAGCACGGGAAGAUGCAGCACGGGAAAGGGCCAGAGAUCGAGAGGAGAGGCUGGCAGCUCUCACUGCAGCUCAACAAGAAGCAAUGGAGGAGCUACAGAAAAAGAUUCAGCUGAAGCAUGACGAAAGCAUUCGGAGACACAUGGAACAAAUUGAACAGAGGAAAGAAAAGGCAGCUGAAUUAAGCAGUGGCAGACAUGCUAAUACUGAUUAUGCACCUAAACUUACACCAUAUGAACGAAAAAAGCAGUGUUCAUUAUGCAGUGUCUUGAUUUCCUCAGAGGUGUAUCUUUUUAGCCACAUUAAGGGGAAAAAACACCAACAAGCAGUGAGAGAAAAUAGCAGCAUCCAAGGACGAGAGCUUUCAGAUGAAGAAGUGGAGCACCUGUCAUUGAAGAAGUACAUUGUUGAUAUUGUGAUUGAAAGCUCUGUUCCAGCAGAACCUUUAAAAGAUGGAGAGGAGAAGCAAAAAACAAAAAAGAAGGCAAAGAAGUUGAAGGCUCGGAUGAACUCCAGGGCUAAAGAAUAUGAAAGUUUAUUGGAAGCAAAAAAUGCCACCUCUGAAUCACCAUACAAAGCAAAGCUGCAGCGAUUAGCAAAAGAUCUUCUAAAGCAGUUCCAAGUACAGGAUAGCAGUUCAUUGGCAAACAACAAGGUUUCUGCUCUGGACAGGACUUUAGGAGAGAUUUCUCGUAUUCUGGAAAAGGAGAAUGCAGCAGAUCAGAUAGCAUUCCGGGUUGCAGGAGGACUCUCAGCCCUUGAACACAUUCUUCAAGUAGUGAUUUCUUCCACAAAUCUGAAUGCAGUUUCACGGAUUCCUCCCAAGUCACUCUGCAGUGCCGUGAAUGUUUACAACCUGACCUGCAGUAAUUGCACAGAAAACUGCACCUAUGUUCUGUUUAGUAAUAAGAUCACUUUUUUAAUGGAUCUGUUGAUGCAUCAGUUAACGGUUUGUGUUCCAGAUGAAUAUAAUGCAAUAUUAGGAAGAAGUGCAAAUAAGCAAGUAUUUGAAGGUUUAACAACUGGACUUCUCAGAAUCAUUGCUGUGGUCUUUAGGUAUCUGAUUUCCAGUCUACCAGAUGUAAACAAUCAGCCCACUGCACCCAAAAUAAUACAGGAAGUCAAAAACAAGCCCUCAAAAGUUGAGGCCUUUAACACCAGGGUUCAGGACCUGAUCAGUUAUGUGGUGAAUAUAGGAUUGAUAGACAAAUUAUGCUGCUGUUUCCUCUCCGUCCAAGGUCCUGUUGAUGACAAUUCAAAAAUAGCUACUUUUCUGCAAAAUGCUACAGCAGUGUUACAUGGAAUGUGUCAGCUCUGUUUUGCUGUCAGUGGAAGCAGUUUCAGAGAAAAUUAUUCUUGACACGUAUGAUCUGAUCAACUGAGCAUCAGUGGUUCUUCUGAGCAAUCAUCAUGCAAAUUUAAAUACCUAAAAGAUCAUCUAUCAAGUUGUACCUGCAGCCUAAAUCCUGCCUCCAGUUGCCAGAACAAUCUUCCAGGGCACCGUUGAGGCCACAGACUCUUCCUCCAGUACCAGCAGGCCCAUAAAGACCCGAAGCUCCAAGGAGAGGAAGCACAACUCCAAUAGGAUGCCCAUGCCCUCUGCUAGUAAGGAGAGUAAACACAAGGUACCAUCGAGCUCGGCCCCGUCAUCAGCACUGAAGCAUCUCGGUCAACCAUGAACCCAACCAUCGGUACUGAUGCAAGCAGCUCAGCCGGGGAUGUCUGUACAAGUGGUACCCUCAGUACAGAGAAAGCAUUGGCGCUUGACAAAGCCUGCGGUACGCUCGUCGGUACUGGUACCAUUUGUUCCAGUCCUGGCAACCUCAGCUACAGUGUGUGUACCAGGGUUCUUUCUUGUACUGCAGGAGUUCAGAUACUCAAGGAUUGCUCUAUCUUGGAUGAACCAGAGUCCCCCUUGCUGUCAGGUACAGAGCAGUUCAUGGUACUGAGACCUCGGUCUCUAAGUGGCCACUCUGUGGCACAGGACUCUCUUACAUUCUCAUUGACUGCCCCUCCAACUACAAUGGGAGGAUGUGGAAAAAGAAGAAGAGGGCUCCCUGUCACUUUCCUCAAUUUCUGUUAGGGGUUCUCCUACAUACCCCUUUCGGAAUCUUUCGCGCAGGGAGAACUUCGAGGCUUGUCAAGGACCAACUCUGUAUGCACCCCUGCUCCCUUAUAGACCCCUCCCCCCACAAAGUGGCCAUAUUGGGACCCCUGGGCAACCUAAAAGCAGGAAUUCAGCAGACCACCGGUACCAUCACUUUAGGGAGACUGGGGUUUCGCAUCCUCCCUCUAUUCUUUCACAGCAGGAGGAGAUGUUUGAGGAGCUGGAGGCUAGAUCAGAUGAGGAAUUCACCCCUGAAACUCCCAUUUCAUCAUCAUUGGCAGUCAUGCCUCCCACUCCUUCUGUCACCGACGAGUACAGACAAUUCCAGGACCUCAUUAGAAGGGUGGCUAACACUCUACAGAUCCCUCUGGAGGAGGUCAAAGAUCAUCAGCACAGGCCACCAGAUAUUUUGCAGUCAGCAACACUCUCCAGAGUGGCGCUGCCUAUUAAUGAGGCUCUCCAGAUCCACUUAAGACAGUAUGGCACACACCGGCCACUAUUCCACCAAUGCGCAAAAGGGCAGACAAGAAGUACUACGUGCCCCAUAUGGACUCUGACUUUUUAUUUUCCCCUCCCUCUCCUAACUCCCUUGUGGUGGAUGGCUCUGAAUGAACGGUAUAAGCAGCACUUUUUGAGAACUACCCCCAUGACAAGGACCAAAAGCGACUGGAUCUCUUUGGACAAAAGCAUUAGGCAUCCACAACCCUGCAGGUUGAGAUUGCAAACUAUCAUGCAGUCCUUGCCAAAUAUAACUUUAUCAAUUUCAACAUGCAUUCAACCAGAUCACAAGUGGCAUGUGCUGCAUUUUUGAAGAAUGGCCAAGUAUCUGAGAUAUGUAGAGCUACUAUCUGGUCUUCCGUCCAUACAUUUUCAAAGCAUUACUCCCUGCUCUGUGCCAUUAGAUCUGAUGCAGUACUUAGUACAGCAGAGCCAUCUUCAGCUGUGGAUCUUGUUCUGAAGCUCCCUCCUCCUCCUAGGAAUACUGCUUGGGAGUCACCUGAAGUGGAGUACCUAUAAAGACACUACUCGAAGAAGGAAGAAAUGUUAUCCUGUGCAGUAACUGUAGUUCUUUGAGAUGGGUGCUCUACCACCUGCCCUCCUUAUCCUCUACUUCAGUUGUUCCCUAGGAAAUGACUGAGUAGAGAAGAAACAAAGGGCAGUUCGCCCACGAACGCCUAUAUGUCUGCCGCGAGAAGGCAUAGGGUGCGUGCACAGGCCAAAUGAGCACUGAUAGCUAGAAAUCUCCAAUUAAGGGCUCAAGAGACAUGUAUGCACCUCAAGUGGUGCACCUAUAGGGGGACACAUCCCGAAGAACUACAGUUACUGCACAGGAUGAGUAACAUUUCCUUCCCUGGCCGACUCGACUUCAGUCAACUAAGAAAUGAUAUUUAAGGAUUAAAAGCACUAAGCAAGACUCCCUGUUUGGCAGUUUCAGAGGUCAGCCAGGGCAAUGAAGAAAAAGGUCAUCCGACCCUAAGAUUACCUGGAAGGCAGAACCAGUCCAUCUCUCUACUGAAGGUCACACUGGGAAGUCAUUCCAAAGCUAAGGUCUAGUGACUCCUACAGACUGCACAGCUCCCAUUGGAGAGAGACAAUCCUGAGAAUUGGAACUAGCAGAGUGCAGGAGGUAGCCAGCUCAUUUGCAUGAACUCCUGUAUGAAAUCUUUCUCACGGGUUUCACAGCACAAGUGCUAGCCACAGAGACAAAGUUUUGGCUUUUGUAUCAUGCUGAACUUUCCGAGGUCAGCCUAUCGUAAGGCCAGAAUCUGCUGGAAUAACUCUCGAGAGUCAUCAGCCUGUUGGUGUAAAACUACCUGCUAUUGUUGAUCAGCAGUACCUGCUCCAUGUAUAGUAUGAUCGUAUUACAAUGAAAGUUUUCUUUCCAUUAUAAACCUAAUGUUCAGAGUCUGUACACCCUAAGCAAUCCCCCUGAAAUUUCACAUGCCACAUCUUAGCCCAUGCUACAAAUCACGGUGGAUAAAAAUCAAUGAUUUCUUUUUAAAAAAUAAAAAAAAAAUCUGAUUUUUUUUAUUUAAAUCGGAAUUUUUUGAUAAAAUGCUUUUUGAGGAAAAAACCUAUCUAAAGAGAGUUUUAAUUACGAUACAUUUUAGCUCAAAGAUAUCUCAUCAUGGAAUAGGGAUUAUAAAUUCUAAUUCUAUAGCAUGAGACAAUAUAUUCAUGUAAUGUUUAAAAAAAGUUUUUUAAAUGAGUUCCAAUAGUUCAUAGAUUAGGAACCCAAUUUUAUGGAGUUCCAGGGGCUUCUGUAUAGAUUAUUAAGUUAAUCUAUUUUACCAAUGGGACUCAGUGUUCAGUCUAGAAGACAACCAUCAGAAAUGCUUAGUUUUGCAGUUCUCAAACUGUGGAUUUGAGUCUCCAGAGAUAACAUGCUUCUUAACAGCAAAAACAUUUUUAAAUAAAUAAAUAAUAUAGAGAGGUGAGAAAUAACAGACCUCAACCCUAUUGUCCCUCUGCAAAUUUGUGUACGCAGAGUCAAUCCCUUACAUCUCUCUAAAAGUGCAAAGUUUCAAAAAGUUCAGUGAACAGAAGAUUGUUGAGGGUGGAAUAGAUCUGGACAAAGAGAAGAAAUCUGGAAGUAAAUGUGAGAAGGGCAGGACAGGGAGUAGAAACAAAAGUGAAACUGUUUGAGCAGCCAUAUUCCAGAAGUCUUGCGGUCUUUCUGAGUGUAGCCUUCAUUGAUUUGAGAUCUACCAUACCAUUCUCUCACUAGAAGGGAAAACCUAUAAUGGCUGCAGGCUGUAAAAGAGACCCAGUUUGGGACUAUUUUAAUGACGUUCCUCU